rnacentral:rRNA from 1 species
UACGUAGGUGGCAAGCGUUGUCCGGAAUUAUUGGGCGUAAAGCGCGCGCAGGCGGUCCUUUAAGUCUGAUGUGAAAGCCCCGGGCUCAACCUGGGAAUUGCAUUGGAAACUACCGGGCUGGAGUGUGGCAGAGGGGGGUGGAAUUCCACGUGUAGCAGUGAAAUGCGUAGAGAUGUGGAGGAACACCGAUGGCGAAGGCAGCCCCCUGGGCUAACACUGACGCUCAUGCACGAAAGCGUGGGGAGCAAACAGG